UGUGUGUGUGUGUGUUUUGCCUAGCUGGAAUAUUAAACCCUGUGAACCAAGGGACGAACUCCAUAGACCUGUCCACAAUCGUAGAGGACAACAUUGUGCGGGAACAUGUGCGAGUAACGACUCAAGUCAUGAACUGGUUGCAUAAGGUGGUGGAUGUUGGCAAAGGAAUUGCUAAUGGUGUGUGCCGAACUGUGAAAUUGAUCUGAGAGAGACGUCUGGAACUUAACCCCGAAAGCAGGAGCAGCAUCAGCAACAACAACAACACACACAUUACAUAUUAGCCAUAAAGUAACAAUGUAAAGCAAUUACUUAUUGAAUUGGUCAAAUCUUUUAACUGCAAAUGUAAAACCAAUGAAGUAGCUCAGAUGAAACGGCCAUUUUGUCCCAAGACUGGUGAGGCUGCCUGAGCUGGCGGAGAGAAUAAACACACACACAC